rnacentral:rRNA from 1 species
UACGAAGGGUGCAAGCGUUAAUCGGAAUUACUGGGCGUAAAGCGUGCGUAGACGGUCAAGUAAGUCGGGUGUGAAAGCCCCGGGCUCAACCUGGGAAUUGCAUUCGAGACUGCGUGGCUAGGGUGCGGAAGAGGGAAGCGGAAUUUCCGGUGUAGCGGUGAAAUGCGUAGAGAUCGGAAAGAACACCAACGGCGAAGGCAGUGUCCUGGGGAGUACCUGACGCUCAGGUGCGAAAGCCAGGGGAGCGGAACGGG